GUUGUAGAAUAAUCGACUCGUUUAGCCAUUCUCAUUUUCGAGAUUAUCGAAGCUACCGUGAGCUCGGGGAUCGUUAAGGAUCAUUGUCACACUAUCGAACGAUAUUUUGGUACUUUUGAAGUUGUAAAUAUUAAUGUAUGGCAUGUAUAGGCUAGUGAGUAAAUGAUAUGUUUUGUGUUAAGAUUAUAGCCAUGAGAUUUGGCUUAUUUUUGGUUGGAAAUGUUGUUAUGUUUUUAGCUAUAUAA